UCUGAUCCCAAAAAAAGACGUCAUCUCCAUUUGAUAAGCUUCAUCUCCUCUGGGGGACCUCUUUGGCGUAAUCAUCAGAUAGAGAUCAAUUUCAAGAUGAGGAUUAACUAUUUUAAAUCGAUCUGGAGAGGGAGUCAAAUCGCUGAAGUCCAUAUAAAUGGGUUGGCUACUUGGCUCCAGUCUUUAGAUUCCCCAUUCUCUCUACCUGCGCACCAAAUCGGCAGCCUCGAUUUCUUUCUCUGUUCGCAGUGUCAGAGCUCUUGGUGUCGAGCCCAGAAUCGACACAAUUUUAAAGAAAAGCAUUGCAGGCGGUGUUCAAAACAUAAUUUUGAAGGAAGACGUUGCAGCUUGACCACAUCUUUUCUAGGAGUUAAUAAACAUUGCUGCCACUAUCUUGUGCCAAGUAACAGGAACCAGACGACUCCCAUCUCUCUUGUAUUUUGUGGCUGUAGUUUAGUGAUCGAGGGUGAGCCGAACCGAGUGCUUUGCAGGAGGUGGAUAACUUGGGGUUGAAACUCUGCACGGGGAUCAUCUUGGAGCAGCUUCCCCACUAUUGUGAACAGAACUUCGCAGAUUUGUCCUUGGCGUGAACCAACAGCUCGAGGCUUUCACUUGACACUCAUCUUUGCCACCCAUAUGCAGGACGCACCACAAUUCAGGCAUCAAAGACAAGUGUAGUGAAACUUGGGAACUUCGCAGAACCGUACUUGGUGUGAACUGGCAGCCCCCCGGGCAUUCACUUGACACUCAUUUUUGCCACCCAUAUGCAGGACGCACCGCGAUACAGGCAUCAAAAACAAGUGCAGUGAACCCCUUUGUUUCUCUUCUUUUGCCAUCAGAAAGCUGUCGAAAUCCCUUCUCUUUGCACGUGCUUCUUUCAUUCUUUGAACCUGCACUUGUCGUCAACAUAAAAGGUAUUUCGAAAAUAUUUUCUGGUUGUUGUUUUUGUCCUUCUGAUUUCUGGUGGGCAGCAGUAGAGUUUUUGGGGUUUUGUGGCUUUGUUGUUGAUGUAUUUGGCUUUGGGGGAAUUUUGAGGCUCUUGGUAUGGAGAGAUUUGUUUUCGGAGCUGUUUAAGGAGGAUUAUAGAGCCCACAUGGAAAUAGGAGAGGCAAGUGUACAAUUUCUGCACUCAUGGGAAUAUUAGCAAAUAGUAAGGAAGACCAUGAAGAAACGACUAGCAGGAUACCUGAAUAGGAAGCUCUCCUGCGUCGGGUUGUCGUCUCCAGCCUUGUGUUUCUUAUAUAGGGGCCAGUGAAGAUUCUACAGGGUUGGAUAAACAUUUGUUUGAAAUUUGAAUCUCCCGAAGCUCACGAAGAUAAGCUGUUGAUCGGAGACUUCGUCUUUGACUUUGAGAUUGAACUCGGACGCCCGCUGCCACUUUGUUCUUAUCUCACUUUGAGAUAUUUGAAUCACAAUUUGAAUGCUUUCUUCUGUUUCUUUUUUUUUCGUAGCUUAUCCCCGUUGAAACUUGGUCAAACAUUCAACUUGUUUGAAGUUGAGAAAGAGAUAAUUUGAAACAUUUGUUUAAUUGCAGCCAUUAUCCUCAUCUCUUUGUUUUUUUGAAUAAUGUUGCGAUAGC